AGCGAACGCUGGCGGCAGGCUUAACACAUGCAAGUCGAGCGGGCAUCUUCGGAUGUCAGCGGCAGACGGGUGAGUAACACGUGGGAACGUACCCUUCGGUUCGGAACAACUCUGGGAAACUGGAGCUAAUACCGGAUACGCCCUUACGGGGAAAGGUUGACUGCCGAAGGAUCGGCCCGCGUCUGAUUAGCUAGUUGGUGGGGUAACGGCCUACCAAGGCGACGAUCAGUAGCUGGUCUGAGAGGAUGAUCAGCCACACUGGGACGGAGACACGGCCCAGACUCCUACGGGAGGCAGCAGUGGGGAAUAUUGGACAAUGGGCGCAAGCCUGAUCCAGCCAUGCCGCGUGAGUGAUGAAGGCCUUAGAGUUGUAAAGCUCUUUUGUCCGGGACGAUAAUGACGGUACCGGAAGAAUAAGCCCCGGCUAACUUCGUG
rnacentral:rRNA from 1 species